AUUGAACGCUGGCGGCAGGCUUAACACAUGCAAGUCGAACGAGUGGCGGACGGGUGAGUAAUGCUUGGGAAUCUAGCUUAUGGAGGGGGAUAACUACGGGAAACUGUAGCUAAUACCGCCUACCCUCUGCUGAGCCCAAGGGGGAUUAGGUUGUUGGUGCGGUAAAGGCUCACCAAGCCGACGAUCCCUAGCUGGUCUGAGAGGAUGACCAGCCACGAUGGGACUGAGACACGGCCCAGACUCCUACGGGAGGGAGCAGUGGGGAAUAUUGCGCAAUGGGGGCAACCUGACGCAGCCAUGCCGCGUGAAUGAAGAAGGCCUUCGGGUUGUAAAGUACUUUCGGUAGCGAGGCGUUAGCUACAGAAGAAGCACCGGCUAACUCCGUGCCAGCAGCCGCGGUAAUUC
rnacentral:rRNA from 1 species